UACGGGGGGGGUAAGCGUUGUUCGGAAUUACUGGGCGUAAAGGGCUCGUAGGCGGCCAACUAAGUCAUACGUGAAAUCCCUCAGCUUAACUGGGGAACUGCGUGUGAUACUGGAUGGCUUGGAUUCGGGAGAGGGAUGCGGAAUUCCAGGUGUAGCGGUGAAAUGCGUAGAUAUCUGGAGGAACACCGGUGGCGAAGGCGGCAUCCUGGACCGAUAUUGACGCUGAGGAGCGGAAGCCAGGGGAGCAAACGGG
rnacentral:rRNA from 1 species